rnacentral:lncRNA from 1 species
GAGGUCAUAUCUAAAAAACUUGCCGCAAUAAGCCCCAAUUGGUGUGUUUAAACUUCUUUAAUUAAUUACUACAUAUUUUCUACACUCACAAUGUUUGUCAGCUCGCUAUAUAAUCAACUUGAUAAUGUUAAAUCCAUCAUGCAAUGCAUUUCCUUCCAAUUUUUUGUGAUAAACUAAUAGAUAAUUGAUUAAAUAAACAUCCUGC